AAAGGGCCCAUUUUACCACACUGUGAGAAAGACUCUGCUAGCUUAUUACACAUAGAUAAAGUGAGUGUAUAGGUUUAACCCUUUUAGUCUCGUUAAUGCUCAGGAGAAAGGAAAGGGUAUUCCUACUCAACUGCAGGAAGAAAGGCAUCCAUGGCUUUGGCCACAAUUCUGGUUCUUAAUGACUGAAUUGAAGGUAUUUGGGCACACAGAAGAUAGGAAGCUGAACUCCUCUAUGCUGAAAUGCAGAAAGAAAAAGCAAGAAAUGUUCUUUACUUUCAAAUGACACUGCAUCUUCUCCAACCUCUUUAGUGUCAGAUUAUUGAAGAGUGCAUUGAAUGUUCAAGUGAAUUAAAUAUAAAACAUGCGUGUAACACAAUACCUAACAGAAAGAUAUCUGCCCCAGGAAACCAGAAAUUCAGUGAACUCUUUUAAGGCAUUUCUCAGCCAAUAGUGUCAAUUUCAUGAUGAGAUGUUAUUAACAAGAAGAAUGCUUGAGGUUUGUAAAUUUAUUCUUGUCUUCCUUUUGCUUAUCUUGGAUAUAUUUGUAAAUUGCUGAUUUACCAUAUUAGUUUUGUUCCCAGA
rnacentral:lncRNA from 1 species